AGCUGCUCCAGGUUGGAUUCUGGGGCAAGGGCUAGAGUUCAAGAGAUGUGGGUGUUUGUGGAGUCACUGUCAGAACAUCCUCCCUUUUCAGCUUCAAUUUAACUUCACAUCCAGAAAGAAAUGAAGAUCUUGUCCUGUCAAAUGCACUGGAGUCAAGCAGAGCAUC